AGAGUUUGAUCAUGGCUCAGGAUGAACGCUGGCGGCGUGCCUAAUACAUGCAAGUCGAACGCUUUGUCUUUAAUUGAUCUGACGAGCUUGCUCUGAUGUGAUUUUAUCUGACAAAGAGUGGCGAACGGGUGAGUAACACGUGGGUAACCUACCUCUUAGCAGGGGAUAACAUUUGGAAACAAGUGCUAAUACCGUAUAAUACCAACAACCGCAUGGUUGUUGGUUGAAAGGUGGUUCUGCUAUCACUAAGAGAUGGACCCGCGGUGCAUUAGCUAGUUGGUAAGGUAACGGCUUACCAAGGCAAUGAUGCAUAGCCGAGUUGAGAGACUGAUCGGCCACAAUGGGACUGAGACACGGCCCAUACUCCUACGGGAGGCAGCAGUAGGGAAUCUUCCACAAUGGGCGCAAGCCUGAUGGAGCAACGCCGCGUGUGUGAUGAAGGGCUUCGGCUCGUAAAACACUGUUAUAAGAGAAGAACGGCACUGAGAGUAACUGUUCAGUGUGUGACGGUAUCUUACCAGAAAGGAACGGCUAAAUACGUGCCAGCAGCCGCGGUAAUACGUAUGUUCCAAGCGUUAUCCGGAUUUAUUGGGCGUAAAGCGAGCGCAGACGGUUAUUUAAGUCUGAAGUGAAAGCCCUCAGCUCAACUGAGGAAUGGCUUUGGAAACUGGAUGACUUGAGUGCAGUAGAGGAAAGUGGAACUCCACGUGUAGCGGUGAAAUGCGUAGAUAUACGGAAGAACACCAGUGGCGAAGGCGGCUUUCUGGACUGUAACUGACGUUGAGGCUCGAAAGUGUGGGUAGCAAACAGGAUUAGAUACCCUGGUAGUCCACACCGUAAACGAUGAGUGCUAGAUGUUCGAGGGUUUCCGCCCUUGAGUGUCGCAGCU
rnacentral:rRNA from 1 species